ensembl:miRNA
AAUAUCUAUUAGGUUGGUGCAAAAAUAAUUGUGGUUUAUGCCUUUACAGGUAAUGGCAAAAACUGUAAUUACUUUUGCACCAACCUAAUA